AUAGGCCUUAGCUUCAAUUAAGUAGGUAGGGCCGCCCGCCUCAUCUGUCCUGGUUCGAUGAUUGAAGGUUUGAGGCUUCAGCAGUAGGCUUUCCGAGCCGUUUCCACGCGUUUCUGUAACGCCCAGCACCAUCCUUAAAAAGCCAUAACGUAUGUCCAUGUCUUAGCUAUGAAAAGCUUUCAGAUAUGGAGCGGCAUGAUGGAAGUUGGGAUGAGUUCGUUGGAACUACUACCCCGGGGGCACCCAGGCACGUCGCAGCAUAUCCUCGCCUCUCUGGGAUUGAGCAUUCUUAGUCUACAGGAAACGCGACGGCUACUUUAAAAGCGCUGAAAGGAUAUCAACUGGCCGAAGGCAGGCGUCACAGCACGUGGUUUCGGUGUCGGGCAGAAGUUCCCUGAAGUUCAGAUUGAAAUGGCGGAUCCUGCAUUGCGUGCGCCUGUUUACUAGUAAGAGUGGUGCCGCGUCACACUUUUAGGCCACAAAUGAAAAUCGUAGGAAGAAAGUCACAGUGAUUUAAUUCCUUUCGCACCGCAUUCUAGAAGCGCCAAAGCCCUAGCUUGACCACAACGUCCACAGAGCCCACUCCCGAUGCCACACUAAUCCCACAAAAAUCAGAAUAAUAAAGUCUUUGCGCCCAUUCCACGUACAUUCCCACGUCCGAGCCAUGCUUGUCUUGCGAAUCCGUGCCGUAGAUUUGACGGUUACAGUUUCUGGUCUUUGAAUGCAUAACUGCCCUAGCUCAGCCCCAGGUUUUCCAAACUCACAUCUUAGCCCUUUGGCAGGCAACCCCACCGUAUGGCAGGUGCACUCAUAAUCUGAGGACUGAACGGCGCGGUUAAGCCCAACCCAUGCAACAUGACAGUGCCCACCCUAAAAAGCAGUAUGAGGACAGAUACAGGCCUUAGGGGAGCCCAUGAUAAAAUUAAAGGGUCGACAAGAGCUUUCCGAAUCUGCUUUUAAAUCUUGUAUGUACAGUUGUACGACAUUAGUUAUCGUCUUCCGAAGUCCGUUGCACGAAAAGUUGGGUUCGGAGCUCCCCAAAGUCAUAUUUGUUUUGUGUUCAAUGCGUUUUUUAUAAUAUAAUGCAAUUUUGCUCAUCACGUCUACCAUUCCCACAUCUCCCUCACACACCCCACCCUGUGUGUGCGCCUCCUCCUCUCUGUCCUGGCGCAGCAGCUGAUCUCGGGUUUUCAGGCCCCCGCAGCAAUCCAUCUCGCGCAAAAGGCACGACGGGGCGCGCUGGAGAACCAGACCGAACAUCAAGGAGCGCCGGACCGACGGAUCGCCCGCCACCCCGUCUGCCGUAUCAAACCGGUCGGAAACCGCGCGCCACCCGCGACUCCAG
rnacentral:lncRNA from 1 species